rnacentral:rRNA from 1 species
GUGCCAGCCGCCGCGGUAAUACGUAGGUGUCGAGCGUUAUUCGGAUUUACUGGGCGUAAAGCGCACCGAGGUGGCUUCUUAAGUUGGAUGUGAAAUCUCCUGGCUUAACUGGGAGACGCCAUUCAAAACUGGGAAGCUUGAGGUCAGCAGGGGAAAGUGGAAUUCCCGGUGUAGUGGUGGAAUGCGUAGAGAUCGGGAGGAACACCAGUGGCGAAAGCGACUUUCUGGGCUGCACCUGACACUCUAGUGCGAAAGCGUGGGGAGCAAACAGGAUUAGAUACCCCGGUAGUCC